UUCCGGUUGAUCCUGCCGGAGGAUACUGCUUUUGGAGUUCGAUUAAGUCAUGCAAGUCAGAUCGUAAGAUCGGCGAACGGCUCAGUAACACGUGGGUAAUCUGCCCUAUGGUCUGGGAUAACCUUGGGAAACUGAGGGUAAGACCGGAUAGAGUAAUUCUACUGGAAUGUGUUUUACUUGAAAGGUAACGCCAUAGGAUGAGCCUGCGUUAGAUUAGGUUGUUGGUGAGGUAAUGGCUCACCAAGCCUGUGAUCUAUAAGGGCAAUGAAAGUUGGAGCCCUGAGGAGAGGACUGAGACAAGGCCUCUAGCCCUACGGGGUGCAGCAGACGCGAAACCUUUACAAUGAACGAAAGUUUGAUAAGGGAACUCCGAGUGCUCAUAGGAAACUAUGGGCUUUUGUUAAGUGUAGAUAGCUUGAUGAAUAAGGACUGGGUAAGACCCGUGCCAGCCGCCGCGGUAAUACGGGCAGUUCUAGUGGUAUCCGCGUAUAUUGGGCUUAAAGCGUCCGUAGCUGGUCCAGAAAGUUUCUAGUGAAAGCUCGCAGCUUAACUGAUGAGAGGUGCUAGAAAAACUUUUGGACUUGGAGGCGGGAGAGGUAAGAGGUACUUUUGGGGUAGCGGUUAAAUGUGUUAAUCCUGAAGGGACCACCGGUAGCGAAGGCGUCUUACUAGAACGCGCUCGACAGUGAGGGACGAAGGCCAGGGGAGCAACCCGGAUUAGAUACCCGGUUAGUCCUGGCAGUAAAUGAUGCAGACUAGGUGUCCUGUAACCUACGUGGUUAUGGGGUGCCGAAGGGAAACCGUUAAGUCUGCCGCCUGGGGAGUACGGUCGCAAGACUGAAACUUAAAGGAAUUGGCGGGAGAGCACCACAAGGGGUGGAGGCUGCGGUUUAAUUGGAUUCAACGCCGGG
rnacentral:rRNA from 1 species